UGAAACUUUACAUGUCACAUGUCACAAAAAGUUACCGAAACAGCCGUAUGUUUGUCCACAAACAAACUUGACAUAAAUCUAGUUUUCAUAUGAGCGUGGGUGGGGUGUGUGUAUUUUUUUUUGGGGGGGGGUCUGGCAAGGCAACAAAGCAAUGGGGUUAUAAGUUAUCCCACGAGCGCGAGUGGAACACGGAAUUGACCUAUCGCUGUUUGCGAGUUAGCCACGCCCCUAAGACAACCCUAUGUGUUUUUUUGUGGUACACGAAGUUUUUGUUUGUCUCGGAUUUUGCACGUCCGGCGUCCACUUGUAUAUCAUGUAAUUAGACAAUUCGGGCGAUUCACAAUGCAGUGCGCCACCAAGAGCUUGCCACAGAGAGUUAAUUUUCCCACUGCAUUGUGGGAGAUGGUCGACAAAUUCGCGGCGCGGGACAUUUGAAAUUGUUCGUUUUUCCGGUCAGUUGUUUCAGAAGCGUACGAUUCGAGUAUAUGUUUUGAUAACCCUAUCAUGAAAUCGUCCGAAAGUUUUAACCAAUAACGUGUCAGUCAGUCCCGCGUUGACUUUACUCAUUCACUUAGAGCUUAGAGCUAAGGCGUUCGUGGAGUGUUAAAAAAGCCCUUCUUAUCUUACGCAACAGCAUUUGUACAAGGCCAUGGUAAUUGUCAGAGAACGCCCACCCUAAUUGUUGAACAAAUCACGUCAGUCAGUAAAGAAUAGAUCGUAUUGUACUUUUCGGAAACGCCGUUUAGGGCCUUUUGUGUGUGGUAUGUUGGAGUUUGUUUUGUUGUGAGAGCGAUAGAGAUAGAGAGAGGCAGAAGACAUUCUGACUUGUUCGAGAAAAGACAGAGUUUUGGAGAGCAAUCGUGUGCUUGAAAGACCGGUUGUAACUUCCCUUGCGUCAGAUAUCUGAGAACAGCAGAUCAUAGUCCGUAUCUAGAAUUUGGUAAAGUCAGGCCGAAUUCCAGCCGUAAAACUGUCCCGGUCGUCUUUGACAUUUCCUGGCAACAGUUCGCCUCCCCAAGAAAGCUGCACAGCAAAUUACCAUGGCCUUUUUGUUGAGAGUAUUCCCCUGUCGACCAUUACACCGACUGGAGAAGGAGUCGGUACCACUGAGGUGCUGUAGACGGAUGUAGAGUAUUUACUGAGGCGUAGCCGGCCGAGUCCUGUGAGUUGUGCCCACCACGGUCUUGCGAGCCCUCAGACGCCGGGAACUCCAACGCUUUAAAGUUUGUUAGAAACUGGUAAAAGGGAAGUGCCCGAACUAUACAUAAUUAAGAGAAGUCUGGAAACGGAGUUACAUUUGGAAACAAAUUGAUAGUGUCUGAUUGACUGAACGGUGUUUUUUUUUUAGGAUUUUGUAAUUAAUUAAUUGAACGUACUAUUUAUGAUCCUUGUCAUCGAUUGAUGUAAUAAUUUGGAAUUGAUUUAACUGAUUAAUUGAACAUAAGUAUUUUUAUGAUCUUGUCAUUGAUUGAUUAAAUAA